GUUACCUACGGGGCGCAGCAGUGAGGAAUAUUGGUCAAUGGGAGAGAUCCUGAACCAGCCAAGCCGCGUGAGGGAAGACGGCCCUAUGGGUUGUAAACCUCUUUUGUCGGAGAACAAAACCCGGGACGUGUCCCGGACUGCGUGUAUCCGAAGAAAAAGCAUCGGCUAACUCCGUGCCAGCAGCCGCGGUAAUACGGAGGAUGCGAGCGUUAUCCGGAUUUAUUGGGUUUAAAGGGUGCGCAGGCGGCACGGCAAGCCGGCGGUCAAAUCGCGGGGCUCAACCCCGCCCAGCCGUCGGAACUGCC
rnacentral:rRNA from 1 species